AUAGACGUAGGCUAGAGGUUAGUCACACCGUUUGGGGCGGUGUUCACGCUGGUUCGAGUCCAGCCGUCUGUACCA
rnacentral:tRNA from 1 species